GAGGUUGAAACCCAGAUAGGGUAUGGCUUCUUCCAAGGAGCGCAUAGGCACAAUAAUGUGUCCUCGCAGGUUGAAAUCCUGCCAACCUCACCA
rnacentral:tRNA from 1 species